rnacentral:lncRNA from 10 species
CUUGUCGCAUCAUGUUUGAGUGAUUUUGGGAAAAUACCCAAAGUCUGUGAAAUUGAGAGUCCCUAUGCUCGAUGUGAGAAUGGUACCCAUGGCCAGGGUGAUUUGAGACAAAAGUUCUUGCCAUCCAGCACUUUGCGAGAAGGAGGGAAUCUUAGCUCAGCCCUCUCCCAUGUGCUCCUUCCUGUGGGCAGUGGCUCCUGGUCUUCGGGAAAUGAUGCAGCUUAAUCAAAGGGGCUGCGUCCACAGAUCUGUUCACCAACCUGCAGGUUCGAGAAGAUGAUCAGUGGCCUGUACCUGGGGGAGCUUGUCAGGCUUAUCUUGCUGAAGAUGGCUAGAAUCUAACUGCUAAGUUCAAAUCUCGGCUCUAGCCCUUACUAGCUGUGUAGCCAAGGACAAGUUACUCAACCUUUCUGCACUCACAUCUCUCAUCUGUACGACAGGGUAAUGACGGUGCCUCCCGCAGGAUUUUUGUGGGCGUUGAAGGAGUUACUAUGUGUAAAAUC